UCUCUCUGUAUAGUCUUUCAGAAAGCAAUUCUCAACACGCCCCCGCACGUGUAGCCAAUUUUCAAGCCUAACACGUGGACAACACAACAAGGUGAUGUGGAGCACAUGUGGCCGUUGGGCUUCACACGUGUAGCCAAUUUUCAAGCCUAACACGUGGACAACACAACAAGGUGAUGUGGAGCACAUGUGGCCGUUGGGCUUCACACGUGAGAUAACCUGCUUUGAUACCAUGAUGAAAUUAGGGUUCUACCAUAAAACCAAUUGGCAAUAUAGGGAGUAGCUCAAGACCAUAUAAGCACAUAGCAAACUUGUCCCCUCACCGAUGUGGACAAUUCUCAACAUCCCUAACCUUGUGUUUCGACGAGGAAUUCUUGACGUUGCAUAGUUGAACUCAUUAAAGCCCCAUUCUCAUCAUCGAGGUCGAUAAAAGAAAUCAGCGAAGCACAAACAGAUAGAACUUUGAAGAUGAACUUAUUUCCAUUCAAUAGUCAGGAACUAUCAACGGCACUGAGCUGGAACAACCUGUUCUUCCUGAAUAUCUUGAGUCCUAAGGAACUUCAUCUCCGUUUCUAAGGGCAUGUUUAGUAUUCUAUUUAGAAACUUGGACUUGAAAAUUUUUAUUUGUUCAAAGAACAUAGUUCUAACUACAAUUCAUAAGACUCAUAAAUUCAUUUGGUAUGAGAACUUGAAACUUAUUUUUAGAUCACUAUCAAAUAUUCAAAGACAAAAAAUGCAGGCUGGGAGGCAACUGUGAAUCUUCAAAGCUUGAGAAGAAAAAAAAAAAACUCAGAUUGCCAAACAGUUCAAGUGCCCACUAUGCGCACUACCAUUUCAUGACUAUAGCAUGCAACGAUGGAGUCGAAUAGCAGCGAAAUUGAACUAUCUCGGGUUGAAGGGCGCUCGUGGCAGAUAUCGUCCUCUGAAAUUUGUUUGAGUAACCAGUGAGAGAAGUGAGGGAGAGAGAAGGAGAGAAAAGAGAGAGGACAGGGUGAGAGAAAAGGCCGACGAAUGGUUCUCAUCUAAAAACUAUAAAUUCUCACAUUUUCUGUUUUCAGCAAGUAAAACUUUUUCUUCAGUUAGUUUUAGUUGUCUUCUUGAGAAAAAUAUACCAAACAGAAUUCUUCAUGAUCUUUCACAUGGACAUCAGGAUAUGGUUCUAGCAAGAAGAUUAUGAGAUGGAAGGGAGGUGAAGCCGGUCAUUGCUUUUGACCUCCGGACACAUGGUGGCGUGGGACCGAAAGUGAGUAAUUGCAGGGUACUUAUGAUGAAGACUUGUAUGCGGAGAUACUGAACGAUGAUAUAAUUAAAAACUAGAUGAAUGUUCGGUGCAUGCUGCUCAUAUGAUGCCGGUUGUUGCCAACAACUCAGAGGCUGAACGUCAAUCUCGACAACAUAUGCAAGCCAUUUUGUCGCAAGAAGCUCCUUUCCAAGGUACUGCAAACCUAAGAAUCCAUUUCAGAAAGAGAAAGGAAAAGUUUCGUGCAGAGUCACAGGAAUCUUCCAACUCAGACAAGUCGCCAAAAGGCUUUAGUGAAUAGGAUGAACGAUCGACAUGUGUUAUUAUAUAUAUUUUUUAGAAAUUAUCUUGGGGUCCAAGAAUGAAUAUUUAAUCAAAUGUUUAUUAA